UGCGCCCAGUAAUUCCGAUUAACGCUUGCACCCUACGUAUUACCGCGGCUGCUGGCGUAGUUGGCGGUGCUUAUUCUGCAGGUACCGUCAGUUGCGGGGUAUUAUCCGUGCCGUUUCUUUCUGCCGGUGCUUUGUGGCCUUCAUCGCACACGCCCGGAUGGCAUGGAUCAGGAAUUUCCCCAUAUCAAGCGUUCUGCUGCCUCCGCGGCCGAGUCUGACCGUAUCUCAGUCCCAGUGUGGCUGGUCGUCCCUCUCAAACCAGCUACGGAUCGUCUUCUUGGUGAGCCGUUACCCCACCAACUAGCUAAUCCGAUAUCGGCCGCUCUAAUAGUGCGAGGAGCCCGAAAGGUCCCCCGCUUUCCCCGAAGGGCGUAUGCGGUAUUAGCUACGCUUUCGCGUAGUUAUCCCCUUUACUAGUACGUCCCGAUACAUUACUCACCCGUUCGCCACUCCUUACCAGACCGAAGUCGUGCUGCCGUUCGACUUGCAUGUAAAGCAUCCCGCCAGCGUUCAAUCUGAGCCAGAAUCAGACC
rnacentral:misc_RNA from 1 species